ACACAUAACAACUUGUGUCAUAAUCAUCAUUGUGCAUACAAAUGAAAAGUCAAUAUAUAUUGUGUCAUACAUUUUUAGCCAUAAUAUUUGAUGACAUGAUGAUCAGUUGUCAUAUAUUUUUUGUGCAUAUAGGUUUUAAUUAUAAUGAAUCAAAUGUCAUACCAGCUAAAAGCAUAUUUAUCGAUACUUACAAUGUUUUUACGUAUAACGUUUUAAAGCAUAAUAAUUUAUAAUCAUAAUGGUUUAAGGCAUACUUAGUUAUUGAUAGCCGUAUAUACACCUUCCU